AAAUUGAAGAGUUUGAUCAUGGCUCAGAUUGAACGCUGGCGGCAGGCCUAACACAUGCAAGUCGAACGGUAACAGGAAACAGCUUGCUGUUUCGCUGACGAGUGGCGGACGGGUGAGUAAUGUCUGGGAAACUGCCUGAUGGAGGGGGAUAACUACUGGAAACGGUAGCUAAUACCGCAUAACGUCGCAAGACCAAAGAGGGGGACCCUCGGGCCUCUUGCCAUCGGAUGUGCCCAGAUGGGAUUAGCUUGUUGGUGGGGUAACGGC
rnacentral:rRNA from 1 species